GAACAAAUAGGUUGUACGAUUGUUGCUUGGUUGGAACUUUUCUUACGGCAAGCGUGGUUCAGUUUCAAGCCAUGCGUAAUAUGCUUGCAAAUUUGUGGCAUCCUAUAGCGGGUAUUGAAAUUUCAAAUUUGGGGGCCAAGCGAUUUUUAUUUCGUUUUUUUCAUAGGGUUGAUAUUGAAAGAGUGAUUAAAAGGGCCCCUUUGGACCUUUAAUAAUCAUUUGUUGAUUUUUCAUAGGAUGCAAGAUAUGGAGGACCCGAUGAUAGUUCCAUUAUUCUAUGUGCUUUUUUAGGUUCAAGUACGUGAUUUGCCUCCAGGGUUUUAUUUUAAGGCAGUG
rnacentral:lncRNA from 1 species